rnacentral:misc_RNA from 1 species
GAUGAAGAACGCAGUGAAAUGCGAUAAGUAAUGUGAAUUGCAGAAUUCAGUGAAUCAUCGAAUCUUUGAACGCACCUUGCGCUCCUUGGUAUUCCGAGGAGCAUGCCUGUUUGAGUGUCAUUAAAUUCUCAACCAUUAUCAACUUUUGCUGAUAAUGGCUUGGAUGUGGGGGUCUAUUUUGCUGGCUUCUCAGAUAGUCAGCUCCCCUUAAAUGCAUUAGCCGGUGCCCCGCGUGGACUGUCUAUUGGUGUGAUAAUUAUCUAAGCUAUAGACAUCUGCAAUCAUAUGGGUUUGCGCUGCUUCUAACAGUCUGUUGAUUCAGACAAUACAUGACAAUUUGACCUCAAAUCAGGUAGGACUACCCGCUGAACUUAAGCAUAUCAAUAAGCGGAGGA